UACGAAGGUGGCAAGCGUUGUUCGGAUUCACUGGGCGUACAGGGUGUGUAGGCGGUUUGGUAAGCCUUCUGUUAAAGCUUCGGGCCCAACCCGGAAAGCGCAGAGGGUACUGCCAGGCUAGAGGGCGGGAGAGGAGCGCGGAAUUCCCGGUGUAGCGGUGAAAUGCGUAGAGAUCGGGAAGAACAUCGGUGGCGAAGGCGCUCUACUGGACCACAACUGACACUCAGGGACGAAAGCUAGGGGAGCGAAUGGG
rnacentral:rRNA from 1 species